rnacentral:rRNA from 1 species
CGUGGGGAACCUGCCCCAUAGUCUGGGAUACCACUUGGAAACAGGUGCUAAUACCGGAUAAGAAAGCAGAUCGCAUGAUCAGCUUUUAAAAGGCGGCGUAAGCUGUCGCUAUGGGAUGGCCCCGCGGUGCAUUAGCUAGUUGGUAAGGUAAAGGCUUACCAAGGCGAUGAUGCAUAGCCGAGUUGAGAGACUGAUCGGCCACAUUGGGACUGAGACACGGCCCAAACUCCACGGGAGGCAGCAGUG